CGUGUAGGCGGAUGGGUCAGUCAGAUGUGAAAUCCCAGGGCUUAACCUUGGGCCUGCAUUUGAUACUGCUCAUCUAGAGUAUGGGAGAGGAGAUCGGAAUUCCUGGUGUAGCGGUGAAAUGCGUAGAUAUCAGGAAGAACACCGGUGGCGAAGGCGGAUCUCUGGCCUAAUACUGACGCUGAGGCGCGAAAGCUGGGGGAGCAAACAGGAUUAGAUACCCUGGUAGUCC
rnacentral:rRNA from 1 species